ACAACCAGCCUCGUUGCUGAGCGCUCCGCUCUUUUUGCAGCAACCAGGCAGCUUGUUCAAACCACCACAGGCAGGGGCAGAGCUUGCAGGAAGCUGAGGCUAGCUGCAAAGUUUUGCAAAAGACUCUCACUACCAAAGCCAACUGCAAAGAGUGGGUAUGGAGAUGGUGCUUCUUAUCUCUGGACAUUUUUUUUCUAUUUUGUUCUUUUGACAAAGGCUGCUAAAGAAAUAAGGCCCCAUGUAAUUUCCAGCAAUGACAAGUGAAUCAGUUCUAUUGCUUAAAAAAAAAAAAAAGAUUCCCUCAUUUUCAUAUUUCCAUAUUUAAUUUUUGCACUUGCAUGAAUGUUUCUGUUAUCUUCCAGCCACAUGUUGCUAUUUGUCUCUGUAGUGGAGGAUUUCUUUUUUUCCCCCUUCUCUCUCUUUUUUUUUUUUUUUUUCUUGACUGUGGGCUAUGUGAAGCCUGACUUGCAUGCAAAAGAUCCACAGGGAAAAAAAACCCUCCAGUCCUCAGUGAAAUAAAGAGAGCUGGCAUGCUGCAUGCUUUGUGAGACGGCUCCACGCUCACCACCACCUCGUGCAGCACGUGACGCAGACGUGCAGCACCACAUACUUCCAGAGCUACGUCAUGUGGCCAGCGCAAAGUCCCAGAGAAGAUCAACAGGCAUGGAUUCAGAAAAUGAUACUCAAGAAACACAACAGCGUGUAGUGCGUACUCACCUGAUCUGAUGCUGACCUCCCUCCUGCUCCCAUUCUUGGUUUUCUGAAACAAUAUUUACAAGCCUUUGUUCCACAGUACCCACACGCCAGCCAAGUCACCCAUCGGUGGUUCCCAAAGUUUUUACCAUGGAGUCAAUAACCUUCUCCCAUAUCAUCAUCCUUUCUUCCCCUCCUCGCUCCCUGCUGGUUGGUCAACUUCCUCCCAUUGAUUUUGGCAGCACAAGCUUGUACAGAGCACUGCUGAUAAGCCUGGCAGUUUUAUGACAUCAAGCUCCAGUUUGUGCCAUGCCUUAACUUCAAUAAAGAUGCCAUUUGUUAAGGUGUACUACCCACAUAUAAGUAUCACAAAUUCUACAUCACAUACGAAAGUGUACUAUCAUAAUGAUACAUAGUCACUGAUAAAGGUAUCUUCCAAGCAUCGACCGCCAGUAAAUAGGAUAGACUUUCUACUCCAAAUACCUUCCCUGCAGCUUGAAGCUUUGUAACAAUUCAGUGUGACUGGGAAGGGACAUGCGACACUAGCUCACAAAAUGGUCUGCUAUUUGGUCUGCCAGAAUACAAUAAUUGUUCUAAAAAGAUUACUCAUCCUCUGCCCACCUGACAUCAGCUGGCAAACCUAUCGCUUAUAUCAGCAUGACCAGCAUACACCAAAGCAAUUCAUUGUCACCUUACCUGGCAUGACACUGUUACGGUAUUUAUGAUAUGAAUAUGAGAAUCUAAAAACA